rnacentral:rRNA from 1 species
GACGAACGCUGGCGGCGUGCUUAACACAUGCAAGUCGAACGGAAAGGCCCUGCUUUUGUGGGGUGCUCGAGUGGCGAACGGGUGAGUAACACGUGAGUAACCUGCCCUUGACUUUGGGAUAACUUCAGGAAACUGGGGCUAAUACCGGAUAGGAGCUCCUGCUGCAUGGUGGGGGUUGGAAAGUUUCGGCGGUUGGGGAUGGACUCGCGGCUUAUCAGCUUGUUGGUGGGGUAGUGGCUUACCAAGGCUUUGACGGGUAGCCGGCCUGAGAGGGUGACCGGCAACAUGGGGACUGAGAGACGGACCAGAAGCCUACGGGAGGCAGCAGUGGGGAAUAUUGCACAAUGGGCGGAAGCCUGAUGCAGCAACGCCGCGUGCGGGAUGACGGCCUUCGGGUUGUAAACCGCUUUCGCCUGUGACGAAGAGUGAGUGACGGUAAUGGGUAAAGAAGCACCGGCUAACUACGUG